rnacentral:tRNA from 1 species
CUCCCUGUGGCUCAGUUGGUAGAGCAUGGUGUUUGCAACGCCAGGGUUGUGGGUUCGAUUCCCAUGGGGGGC